AACGAACGCUGGCGGCAUGCCUAACACAUGCAAGUCGAACGAUGCCUUCGGGCAUAGUGGCGCACGGGUGAGUAACGCGUGGGAACCUGCCCUGUGGUACGGAAUAACUCCGGGAAACUGGAGCUAAUACCGUAUGUGUCCCCGGGGACAAAGAUUUAUCGCCACGGGAUGGGCCCGCGUAGGAUUAGCUUUUUGGGGGUGUAACGGCCGCCCAAGGCUACGAUCCUUAGCUGGUCUGCGAGGAUGAUCAGCCACACUGGGACUGAGACACGGCCCAGACUCAUGCGGGAGGCAGCAGUGGGGAAUAUUGGACAAUGGGCGCAAGCCUGAUCCAGCAAUGCCGCGUAAGUGAUGAAGGCCUUCGGGUUGUAAAGCUCUUUCGAACGCGGCGAUGAUGACGGUAGCGUGAGAAGAAGCCCCGGCUAACUUCGUG
rnacentral:rRNA from 1 species